GACGUAGGGCGCGAGCGUUGUCCGGAUUUAUUGGGCGUAAAGAGCUCGUAGGCGGCUUGUUGCGUCAGCUGUGAAAACCCGCAGCUCAACUGUGGGCUUGCAGCUGAUACGGGCAGGCUUGAGUUCGGUAGGGGAGACUGGAAUUCCUGGUGUAGCGGUGAAAUGCGCAGAUAUCAGGAGGAACACCGAUGGCGAAGGCAGGUCUCUGGGCCACUACUGACGCUGAGAAGCGAAAGCGUGGGGAGCGAACAGG
rnacentral:rRNA from 1 species